ACAUGGCAGAAACAGCACGCCAGCUCGACAUCAGAUCUGAUAGGGGGACGAGCAGAAGCAGCAUGGGCUAGCAAGCGCUCAAAAUCUAGUCAUGCUUAGAAUUACAUAGUCCCUGGAGAAAAGGGAUUUGUAGGGGCAAUCAUUACAAUGUUUGGCUCGCAAGCGGCCAUUUCAGAGAUCGGUGAGUAAAGUUAAAAUCCUGUUCGAGAAGUUGAAAACCUCUUAAGUUAAUGAAGCAAAGGUCCAGACUGGGAAAAAUGGAAGCCCUCAGUAGGCAUUGGAAGUGCUCAAGCCAGCAAAUUGAUGAUCCUACCUGGCACGUAUUUCCAGCACCUGGGAAACAUAAGGGCAAAGACAGCUGCAUUGCAGAACCAGAUGCUGCCAGAUGUGCAUAAUUUUCUCAGCUAUUUCUCCUCCAAGCCACCCACCAUCUUGACUUUGAAAUAUAUCACUGUUCCUUCACUGUCGCUGGAUUCAAACCCUGGAAUUCCUUCCCUAAUAUGAUUGUGGGUCAACCCACAGCAGGUGGGCUGCAGUGGUUCAAGAAGGCAGCUCACCACCACCUUCUCAAGAGCAAUUAUGGACAGGCAAUAAAUGCUGGCCAGUCAGCGACACCCAAA